rnacentral:tRNA from 1 species
CGCGAGGUUUUGCAGACCUUCCCUAGGUCAGCGCAACCCUUAGAUGUGGGUCAAAUUUAG